CACCCCAGGAGUUCCAUUCCCGACUCCCCAGUGCGAUUCGCGCUUCGGCCGUGGCGGACUUUUUGCGGGUCCCUCCCACUGCGCUCGACAGGGCCCUGACUCGCUCGCCUGUGUGUGGUCCCGACUCAGACGUGGCUGUACCCAGGAGGGGGGCGCCGGCCGAGACUUGAGACGUGGCGCUCCAGCUCUGCUGGCCUCUGCUCCAGGAUCUUUGGGCCUUACUGAGUACUCAGGUGAAAAGUUUAUAAUCGGGAAGCAAGUAAAGAACCUUUGAAGACUUGUAUAAUUGGAUACGUUGGCGCAGUUCUUCAGCUUUUCAAGAAGUGCCUGAAUUUCAGCCACAUCCCUAAGCUGCCAUCUCAGACAGAGGAACAGGGAGGGGGCUGGAAAGAGCAUCACCUGGAAGAAGUCAGAACGUGACUGUGGGCCAUGAGUGACCUUCAAAGGAAAGCUGGGUAUCUGUGGUCUUUAAGAUGAUGUGAUAAGAUUGUAUUAAAAUUAUAGAAAAACCUCAAUCCCAAAAUUGUGGUCUCUUGACAUUUACAUCUUAACUGGAUUUUCCUGCCAAAGAGCCAGGAGACACGUUACAAUCAUCCUCCGCGAGUGUUCUCUUUAUACCCUGUUUUCAUUCUUUUAGAUCCAUGGCAUUUAAGAACUGAAGCAAUGAAUAGAUUAUCUGAUCAGUCCCAUCAGGCGUUUUCCUAAUGCUAAAAUUG
rnacentral:lncRNA from 1 species